CAGUAGCCGCGGGAAUACGUAGGUGGCAAGCGUUGUCCGGAAUUAUUGGGCGUAAAGCGCGCGCAGGCGGAUAGGUCAGUCUGUCUUAAAAGUUCGGGGCUUAACCCCGUGAUGGGAUGGAAACUGCCAAUCUAGAGUAUCGGAGAGGAAAGUGGAAUUCCUAGUGUAGCGGAGAAAUGCGUAGGUAUUAGGAAGAACACCAGUGGCGAAGGCGACUUUCUGGACGAAAACUGACGCUGAGGCGCGAAAGCCAGGGGAGCGAACGGGAUUAGAUACCCGUGUAGUCCCUGUCUCUUAUACC
rnacentral:rRNA from 1 species